UGCCCAGCAACUCCUAUCCCUACCUCCUCGUGCUACCGACCGGAAACUAUGAGCAACCUCGGAAGAUCGGGUGACCAACCCCGGUGGGAACUUUGGUCGUAGGCUGACAGGGAAAG
rnacentral:ribozyme from 1 species